rnacentral:rRNA from 1 species
AUUGAACGCUGGCGGCGUGCUUAACACAUGCAAGUCGUGCGGUAACAGGCGUAGCAAUACGUGCUGACGAGCGGCGAACGGGUGCGUAAUACAUGGGAAUCUGCCUUUUAGUGGGGAAUAACCCGGCGAAAGCCGGGCUAAUGCCGCAUAAGAUCUUCGGAUGAAAGCGGGGGAUCGUAAGACCUCGCGCUGAUAGAUGAGCCCAUGCCGGAUUAGCAGUUGGUGAGGUAACGGCUCACCAAGGCGACGAUCUGUAGCUGGUCUGAGAGGACGGCCAGCCACACUGGGACUGAGACACGGCCCAGACUCCUACGGGAGGCAGCAGUGGGGAAUAUUGGACAAUGGGGAAACCCUGAUCCAGCGACGCCGCGUGUGUGAAGAAGGCCUGCGGGUUGUAAAGCACUUU